ensembl:lncRNA
CUUGUACGCGUUAUCCCAUGGCCCAGCAGCAAAAGUGCCACCAGUUUCGGAUGACAGAAGCACACAGAUGGCACCUAGGGCAGCUGGGGGUGAUGGCCUCCUAUUUUCUUCAGGAGGAGUCAUGGUUUCAACAGCAGCACGAGACGGUGGCUGAGCCUCGAGCCACCUGGCCCACUGACACUUCUUCCCUCGGGGACAUUCUGCCGUCUGGCGGCUGUGACGCUACAGGCACUGCUGUGUUCAUGGAGUGCUCCCCGGGUGCCAGUGCUCCCCGGGUGCCAGUGCUGAGUGGUUUUUGUGGUGGUGAGUGCCCACAGUGUCCACCACCCUUCCAAGAGCCAGACUGCAUUGUUACGUGCGCCAUCUUGAAAACAAGAAAGUCAACACACAGUGGUCAUUAUCCACUGUCACAAGACCAGAGGGCUGCAGAGCGGGGAUCAAACCCUGGCGUGUCUGACACCACAGGCCACCUUCUGAGGCCACUGUGCUCCUCUGCGUGUCGGGCCCGCUGGGCUCGGCUCCACCUGGCAUGAGCAAGGACUCCAACAGCUGCUUGGUCUGCAGCCAUCACCACUGCGGGCUGUACCUGGACCCCCGCCAGAGGGACGGGGGGCGGGGGGAGGGGGGAGAAUCUCAGAGCCCAGAGCACCCAUCACUCAAAUGUGCAAUCGUGUGCUAAGCGAUGUGCCAAAGCACGCUCAGCCUCGCCACUCCCCAACAGGCACGGACACAUCCACAACGUCAACACCUGGCAGAACUCCCGAGCAGGUGGGGUCAUCCACGGUACAGAAGCGUUGGCAGAGCACGAGGCAGGUGCUGGGGCCAAGAGAGGCUCCCCAACACACCGCGCCCUCGCCGAGGCCUCGCUGGCCUCCUCAUCUGAGGGGUGGGAAACGAUUCGCAAGCACAUCCAUAAGCCCAGGACACAGUUCUAGAGUCCCACCAGGUCUCCGAGAGGCUCCCUGAGCAGGGCUCCAAUUUCCAACCUGAGAAUCCUAAGAAGUGCUAUAAUAAUAAUAAUUAAUAAUAAUAACAGUAGUGAUCAUGGCACACCACAAGUCCAGAAGGAGCAUGCGAACAUGGACUCGCUGAGCUAACAGCUGUCUGUUGAGGAGCCACAUGUGCCCCACUGCCCUCGGGGCUGCCGGAGCAGAAGGAGGUACAGGGGUUCCCCCCAGGAGCUGACCACCAGCUGGGGAGCCAAGACGCACACACAUCGAGUUAUCAACACGACACAAACACGAAAGCCAAAUACGUCAUGAGGCUGCCACAUAUCUGCACUUGAGUUCUUCCUCGUUUACAAGACUCCACGCCCCAAAUAGUAAACUGGAAUUUCCCUCCCUCAACAGCAAACGCCACAGAGCCUGAAUUCAGCGGCUGAGCUGGGCCCAUUUCCCAGGCGGACAUGACAAAGGUGUCAAGAGCGCAGAGCCAGCUUCCCCGGGCCACACCCGGGUGAGGCCGGCGCAGGGGCGUCCGAGUGGGGUGUUGCGCUGUCCUGGAAGUGGGCGGUGGGACCCGCCUUCGGUCAGAAGCCAGCCUGCAGCUCAGCCACUGCUUGAGAUUUAAGAUGUUAAAACUCUGUUCCUAAGUGAGCAGCGAAAACUGCCGGGACUCCUCGGAAAACAAGGAGACAUUUGCUGGGGGCUUCCUUCCCACAACCGGGAGGUCCUCCCCGGGCUCUCAGACCCUGUCGGCUGUGAGAGAGGAGGCAGACAGGCUGGCUGACGGCAGAGGCUUCACAGGUUCCGGCGUUUAAGCAAUACUUGAUUCGCUGCCGUUCCCAAGGCUGUGGAAACGUAUUCUGUCUUCACAGGAUUCCCUGCAGGUCCCGCAGUCCUCUGUCCUCCCCCUCCCCCCUGGAGCCCGGCUGUCCACGAGGAAGCUACUGUCCAUCUCUGGGCAUCUCCUCCUGAAAAGAAAUCUUUUUUCUUUUCAUUGUGGUUCUAUAUACGUAACAUAAAAUCUACCCUCUUAACCAUUGUUAAGUGCACAGUUCAGUGUCAUUAGAUACAUUCACAGUGGUGUGCAGCCAUCCCCACCAUCCAUCUCCGGAACUUUCCAUCUUCCCCAAAGUGAAACUCAGUCCCUGUUAACCACCAACUCCCCCUCCCCUCCCGGAGGCCCCGGUUCGACAGUCUACUUCCUGUCUCUACAAAUGUCACUCCUCCAGGGACCUCCUAUAAGGGCACUCAUACAGGGUCCGUCCUUUUGUGACGGGCUUAUUUCACUCAGCGUAAUGUCCUCAAGGUUCAUCCAUGUUGUAGCAGGGGUCAGAACUUCCUCCUUUUUCAAGGCUGAGUAAUAUUCCAUUGUAUGUACCGUAUUUCCUUUAUCCAUUUAUCCGUUGAUGGACACUUGGGUUGCUUCCAGCCCUUGGCUGCUGUGAACAGCGCUGCCUUUGUACAAAGGUGUGCAGACAUCUGAUGGGGUCCCUGCUUUCACUUCUUUCAGGUAGACGCCCAGCAGUGGGCUGCCGGCUGAUCAAGUGAUUCUGCUUCACUCUUUAAGGAGCCGCCACAGUUUUGCACAGCACCUGCACACUGUGCUCCCCACAAGCCCUGCAAGAGGGUUCCGGCGUCUCCACGUCCUGGCCAACACUUACUCCGCCAUAUCUGCCCUGUUGCUGGAAGCUGGUCAGGCCAACGUGAAGAGACCAGGAAAUAGCUUGGGUGUGAGAUGCUCCCAAAUCCUUGAUUUGUAAGCAGACGCAGAGAACACUACGGGGGGAGGAGCCAAGAGUGGAUGAUGCCCUGGGAGGGGAGAACCAUCUGAAAACAGACCUGAGCCUGCCGCCAGGGGAGGGCGUCUGAGGACCAGCAAGGCCCCAGGCACACACACUCGAACGUAAGCCUCAGGUUGCACCUCCCUGUGCCCUGACCACUGAGCCACUCAUCACUACUGCUGGCCGAGUUCCGCGUAGUAACACUACGCUGGGGUGUGUGGCUAGGUGCCCGUCGGGCUGAA